GAUGAACGCUGGCGGCGUGCCUAAUACAUGCAAGUCGAGCGAACGGACGAGAAGGGGGCUUCUCUGAUGUUAGCGGCGGACGGGUGAGUAACAUGUGGAGAACCUACCUAUAAGACUGGGAUAACUUCGGGAAACCGGAGCUAAUACCGGAUAAUAUUGGGAACCGCAUGGUUCAAAAGUGAUAGACGGUCUUGCGGUCGAUUAGAGAUGGAUCCGCGCUUCAUUAGCUAGUUGGCAAGGUAACGGCUUAACAAGGCAACGAUGCAUAGCCGACCUGAGAGGGGGAUCGGGCCUGCUGGAGCUGAGGCCCGCUCCAGACCUCUGAGGGAGGCCGAAGUAGGGCAUGUUCCGGAAUGGGCGAAUGCCUGACGGAGCAACGCCGCGUGAGUGAUGAACGUCUUCGGAUCGUAAAACUCUGUUAUUUGGGAAGCACAUAUGUAUAAGUACCUGUCCACAUCUUGACGGUACCAAAUCAGAAAGCCCCGGCUAACUACGUG
rnacentral:rRNA from 1 species